rnacentral:rRNA from 1 species
UACGAAGGGGGGCUAGCGUUGCUCGGAAUCACUGGGCGUAAAGCGCACGUAGGCGGAUUUCUAAGUCAGGGGUGAAAUCCUGGAGCUCAACUCCAGAACUGCCUUUGAUACUGGGAAUCUCGAGUCCGGGAGAGGUGAGUGGAACUGCGAGUGUAGAGGUGAAAUUCGUAGAUAUUCGCAAGAACACCAGUGGCGAAGGCGGCUCACUGGCCCGGUACUGACGCUGAGGUGCGAAAGCGUGGGGAGCAAACAGG